UUUUCUGAGAGUUUGAUUCUGGCUCAGAACGAACGCUGGUAGCGUGGAUUAGGCAUGCAAGUCGAACGGGAUCACCUGAUUAGCAAUAACCGGGUGUGA
rnacentral:rRNA from 1 species